rnacentral:rRNA from 1 species
UACGUAGGGGGCAAGCGUUGUCCGGAUUUAUUGGGCGUAAAGAGCGUGUAGGCGGCUUGGUAGGUCCGCUGUGAAAACUCGAGGCUCAACCUCGAGAUGUCGGCGGAAACCACUUGGCUAGAGUCCGGAAGAGGAGAGUGGAAUUCCUGGUGUAGCGGUGGAAUGCGCAGAUAUCAGGAAGAACACCGACGGCGAAGGCAGCUCGCUGGGACGGUACUGACGCUGAGGCGCGAAAGCGUGGGGAGCGAACAGG